UACGUAGGGUGCAGGCGUUAAUCGGAAUUACUGGGCGUAAAGCGCACGUAGGUGGUUUUAUAAGUCGGAUGUGAAAGCCCCGGGCUUAACCUGGGAAUUGCAUCUGAUACUGUCUGACUAGAGUAUGCUAGAGGGAAGUGGAAUUCCAGGUGUAGCGGUGAAAUGCGUAGAUAUCUGGAGGAACACCAAUGGCGAAGGCAACUUCCUGGGGCAAUACUGACACUGAUGUGCGAAAGCGUGGGGAGCAAACAGG
rnacentral:rRNA from 1 species